rnacentral:rRNA from 1 species
UACGUAGGGCGCAAGCGUUAUCCGGAAUUAUUGGGCGUAAAGGGCGCGUAGGCGGCGCAGUUAGUCAGGCGUGAAAUUCCUGGGCUCAACCUGGGGACUGCGCUUGAUACGGCUGUGCUUGAGGAUGGAAGAGGCUCGCGGAAUUCCCAGUGUAGAGGUGAAAUUCGUAGAUAUUGGGAAGAACACCGGUGGCGAAGGCGGCGAGCUGGUCCAUUACUGACGCUGAGGCGCGACAGCGUGGGGGAGCAAACAGG